ACGGUAGGUAGGAGAGCGCUGGGGCCUCCUGGUGUUAUUCAUGGUCCUUGUCUGUCCUCCACCGCAUCAUCAUCUUCGGCUACUACCCUCAGAAGCACCUCUGGCUACCGGGACUGCAGACCUGCUGCUUUUUUAGUCCUCCUGCAACUCUGCGCCAACACUACCGACCGCUAAGGUUGUGAAUUUUGCGAGUGUUGCCGAUCAACAAUGAACUCCUGUAGCGAGAGAACAUUUCAGUGGAAAAUCUGAGCGGAAAAUCGAAAAACUGUCAGCGUCCUUUGGCUGGGUUCUUUCACCUCGCGUUCCAGAUCCCACUGUCCUCGUGGCGGCCCUAAAAAGCAACCGUGCUUGCUGCUUGCCAAAUUCCAAAUUUCGUCCGUCCGGUCGUCUCGUCGAUUCGUUGAUUUUUGUUUUCUUCCUGGCGCCCCCGAGCAACCCCAAUCGUCCCAAUGUUUGCGAUUAUGCCAAUAGAAGCUGAGGAUCGGAACUCCAAUCGUUCCGAAUUCCGACGCAAGAUGAGGGCCAAGUGCGAGUUUGUCUGCAAGUACUGCCAGCGCCGCUUCACCAAGCCCUACAACCUGAUGAUCCACGAGCGGAGUCACAAGGAUGACGUCACGUUCACCUGUGAGACCUGCGGAAAGUCCUUCAAGAGGCAGGAUUACCUUAAGCAACACAGAUGUGGGAUGAUGCGGUGAGCUGCAGGGCAAGCGCCGGCUAUAAGCUCGUAGCAUAGCUCCCAACACUCACUAACAGUCUGGCCAUUACCCCAACAACCCCUGCUACAACGGAUACGACCGCUAUGUAUACUGAUCAACAGCCUAUAUCCCACGCACCCAUGCCGCAUAUAUUAAUUAAGUGCCGCCUCGCUGGCUGCACCGAUGAAAAUACGUACACUCGCUACUCAUUUGCAUUUUAGUUUCGACAAGCGAGUGACACUUCCACAGCUCCCAGCAACUUCAAUUAUUGACAACGGACAGAAACCCUUCAAGAUAAUAAACACCGUAUAACCGUAUUACUUGGACGUUUCAACAUACUCCAUAUUUUAUAUAAUUUAUAGCUGAUUAGUCAACUCUCUUGCUUUAAUUAUUUUUUAAUAAAUAUACGAUCAAUAUUUAUAUACAUCCGUACACGCAUUCCCUCGAUUGAUUUAAUAUAAUUAACACGCAGGCUUUUGUUUUGAGAGAUUUUAUGUUCUUGUAGAAUGUGAAAAUAAGUUUGUUCCUGAUGGUCAGUGCGUUGGAGAUUCUCGAGCUACACCGCGAGCGAUUUGAGUUUUUAGACUUUUUUUGUUUGUAUUAAUUUAAAAAGCGAUAUAUGUAUCCCUAUAUUCCAUUCAUCUCCUCGCAGAUAUUAUCUAAUCCUCUUAGUCUUUGAGAUGUUCUUUUGAUAUAAGUUUAUAUGCACCUGUAAAUAUCCAGUCUUUAAAAAAAAAUAGAGAAAUAAUAGGAGCUACUCACUUAGUGCUUUACCGGAGUUCAUUAACCCACCCUUUUCUUUUUUGCUAUUCUUUGUCUAGAUUUAUUUAAUUCCUGUUAAUUUGUAGAGACUUAGCUGAUAGUCAGUGAUUAAUAUUAUAUGCUUGUACGAGACGCCUCUAUUACACCUGUCUGCUUCGAAAGAAAUAAAGAAAGGCUAUAUCGACACGAUGAUUUUCCUCUUUGUAUAACUUAUACAUAUAAAAGAUAAAUAAAAAUUAUACGUAUAUUCACCUACAAAAAAUUA